UCGGAUAUGGUGUAAUGGUUAACAUUGCCGCCUCUCAUGGGUAAGGCAAUCGGAGCAGUAUCACGCGGCAGCUCGGGGUUCGAUUCCCCGUAUCCGAA